CCUACGGGUGGCAGCAGUGGGGAAUAUUGGACAAUGGGCGAAAGCCUGAUCCAGCCAUGCCGCGUGUGUGAAGAAGGCCUUCGGGUUGUAAAGCACUUUCAGUGGGGAAGAAAGCCUUGGGGCUAAUACCCUCGAGGAAGGACAUCACCCACAGAAGAAGCACCGGCUAACUCCGUGCCAAGCAGCCGCGGUAAUACGGAGGGUGCGAGCGUUAAUCGGAAUUACUGGGCGUAAAGCGCGCGUAGGCGGUCUGAUAAGCCGGUUGUGAAAGCCCCGGGCUCAACCUGGGAACGGCAUCCGGAACUGUCAGGCUAGAGUGCAGGAGAGGAAGGUAGAAUUCCCGGUGUAGCGGUGAAAUGCGUAGAGAUCGGGAGGAAUACCAGUGGCGAAGGCGGCCUUCUGGACUGACACUGACGCUGAGGUGCGAAAGCGUGGGUAGCAAACAGGAUUAGAUACCCCUGUAGUC
rnacentral:rRNA from 1 species